CAGAAAUUACAGCAUUGUCCUUGAGAAGUUAAACUAAACCGAAGCACAAGAGUACUGCAGACAACACUACACAAACCUGUCCAUCAUACACACAGAAGAGGAUUGGGAGGCAAUUCAAUCAUCUUUGGGUAAUUUCAUCGGUGAUGUGUGGAUUGGGCUCCAUAGGUCUGGUCCAACUGAAAAGUGGAAGUGGUCUGAUGGAGAGGACUUCAUGUUCUUUAACUGGGAAAAGGGUUUUGGUGUCCACGCCGUGGGUCAUGACUGUGUCUUGUCUAUUUCAUCUCACUGGCAACCAGUCUCUUGUGCAACUCAAAGACAGUAUAUGUGUCAACAAGAAGUUCAUCAUGGUAAUGGAACAACAGAGAAGAUGUAUGAGCUGAUGCCUGGGACAAAGACGCAGCAGGAUGCUCUGAAAGACUGCAGGACAAACAAAGGCAGUGAACUGGCGAGUAUUUGUAACCAGAAAGAGCUGGAUGUCUUUGAGGUGACUAAAGGGAUCACCUGGAUUGGACUAAAGCAUGAGUACAAGCUAUGGGAAUGGUCCAUUUCAGCAAUGUGAACCGACCUGAGAAGGUGGAAUCCGUGUACAGCUGAACUCAGACAGAAAAUGGACAUCAAAUGAUUUCUCUAAUCAAAGUGCUUUCCCUUGCUAUGGAGAUGAACAAGAUGUCCACCACAACACCUACCACUUUACUACCUACUACUACUAAUGGACAGUCCACCACCUCACCAAAUACCAC